AUGGUACACCUCCAUGAUGAGAGCACCCCAGUCACCCAGGUGUGCUGGACUGCAUUGAGGAAAGCAGACCGGUUUCUGAAAUCCUUCAUCCAAAUAGCCCUUCAUGAUAAUGAUGUCCAGAGUUUCUGUACCAACCUGGUGAAGCGCUACAGAGAGCAAGCGGAAAGCAUCCUGGUGGAGCAGGCCUUCUCUUACCUGGACAACCCCCGGCACACCCUGAGGGAAGGAGCCGUCAAGAUCUUAGAAAUCAUUGCUCAGGACACAAGUCGUAAGGAAACCGUAACUGCCAUUGCAACAGUCCUGAACCUUGUGAGUAUGGAAGCCAAGGCCUCCGACAUCUACUUGGCAGCGUCAGAGGUGAUGGAGGUUGUGGUACACGACUCUGAGGAAAACAUCUUUGAGAGAUUCGUCAACACAAUCAGAACUAUCUGGAGAGGAUAGGUGUUACGGGAUGCCGGUUGGCCUUGCCACUUGCCGUGGCUCCUCAUGCUCCACAACAAGGCCUGGUCUGGAUCGUGGUUCUGAGUCUGAACCAUUUGGUCCAGUUGGACGUCUUCAACCAGUUCAACAUCCAUGGAUACUUCUUCUUCCUCUGUUCCUUUUUAUAUGUGUAUUAUAUAUUAUAUUACCCUUGUGGUCGAGGCUCUCUAAACCCAAUUGGUUAUCCUCCAAGUGUUUUUGACUACAACUCCCAUCACCCCAUUGUUUGUGAUGGGAGUUGUAGGCCAAAAAAAUCCAUGGAGGAAAGGAAGGCUUCUAUAAAUGCAAUAAUAAACAGAAUCUUUGUGAAAAUGCUAGUUUCACACCCCAAUCCUUCUGUUUUAGUGAUGUGUAUGUUGUUUGUAAUAUUUAUAUCCCACUGACCUAUUGUCCUGGCAUUUCCAAUGCAGUGGGCAGAAUAAUAAGAGGAUCGAAACCUAACAAAACUAAAAAAAGACAAAAUAAAGAAGGGGUGGAGAUGUUUUAAUUCAGCAACUUAUUUGUUCCAAUCUUAAAGGCCAUACAACCUUCCAAAUCAGCCCCUACAUAAAACAGAGGAGCAAAAAAAAAAUAAGAUUUCUUGGGAGUCUGUGAAAUCCAAUCGGAGAUUCAUCCAGUCUGAAAAUUGUUGUUGCAAAAUGAAGUCUGGAAAAAGAGGAGACUCUCACUCUGUUAGGAAGAAAGAAAAAAUGUCAAUUUACCUCCAAAAGAAAAUUCUAGUGAAUAACUACAGUAGAGUCUCACUUAUCCAACAUAAACGGGCCGGCAGAACGUUGGAUAAGCGAAUAUGUUGGAUAAUAAGGAGGGAUGAAGGAAAAGCCUAUUAAACAUCAAUUAGGUUAUGAUUUUACAAAUUAAGCAGCAAACAUGUAUACAACAAAUUUGACCAGAAAAAGUAGUUCAAAUACAAAAUAAUGCUAUGUAGUAAUUACUGUAUUUAUGAAAUUUAGCACCAAAAUUUCACGAUGUAUUGAAAACAUCAACUACAAAAAUGCGUUGGAUAAUCCAGAAUGUUGGAUAAGCGAGUGUUGCAUAAGUGAGACUCUACUGUAUUAGCAAUAACACCAGCGAAAUAGAGCUUCCAUUCCCAGGAGCAGUUUAACUUUGUGUGCCAAUUAAUGAAAGCACAAAAGAGAUUAAAGAAUGUUAUCAAACUUAUGACUCAAAUCCCCAUCUGGAUCACUGGAAAUAGAUUCACAUCCCUUUAGGGUCAUGAAACCCACUAGUGAUCAUUGCACUGAGCCAUGGUUGAUAACAGUGGCAUCAAACUGCAUUAAUUCUACAAUAUAGAUGCAACUGUAGCUCCUCAAAAAGCCAAGUUUCACCUUUAAAUAAGUCUGGUUGUAAUCUUCCUCCCACUGAAGUAUUAGCUAUAUUAUUAAUAUAUUAUUAUUAUUAAUACUAGCUAUGCCCUGCCAAGCGUUGCUGUGGCGAAGUAUGGUGGUAUGGGAAAUAAAGUAUUGAGGAAUUGGUGGUAGUUAAGGUAAAGGUUAAGUCUAGUCAUGUUUGACUGUGUGGGUUGGUGCUCAUCUCCAUUUCUAAGCCGAAGAGCCAGCGUUGUCCGUAGACACCUCCAAGGUCAUGUGGGAUGACUGCAUGGAGCGCCGUUACCUUCCCGCCAGAGCAGUACCUAUUAAUCUACUCUCAUUUGCAUGUUUUUUUAACUUUAGGGUUGGCAGAAGCUGGGGCUAACAGUGGGGGCUCUCUCCGCUCCCCCAAUUCAAACUUGCAACCUUUCGGUCCAGAAGUUCAGCAGCUUAGCACUUUAACACACUGUACCAUCAGGGGAUAUUAUUUCCUAAAGGUUGUGAAUAUACAAUAUUAUUCCUUUCCUUCUAAUUAGGACUUUAUUUUUCUUUUCUUUUUGUUGUAUCAACCUAGAGGCAUGGACGAUGGGUUGUGUUGUCAAAUUUCGAGGUUGGGGGGCCUGUAGUUUUGUUGGUCGCUGGGAUUCCAUCACUCUUUUAUUUAUAUAGAUUUGAAAGCAGGAUAAAUGUCACAAUUGAGACAUAGAUUAUAUAUUGUAAUAUUACUAAUAAUAUUACAGUAUAGUAGUAUAGUACAAUAUAGUAAUAUAUAAUGCUGAUAUUGUGCUAUGCUAAUAAUAUAAUAUACUGUAUGUACAUAUUAUUUGGAAGAUGCUCUGAGUCCCUCUCGGGGUGAGAGAGGGCGGGAUUUAAAUGUAGUAAAGAAAUAAAUAAUAAAUAAAUUUUGUGUAGGAAUCUGCAAGCAACCCAGAUGCCCUUUUCUUGCAACCCAACACACAAUCUCACCUCUUUCAUUGCUGUCCGGCUCCUCUUCGGACGAUGUUGCUGUUGAUUCCAAGGAGGAAAAAAAGAACACAUUUGGUUUGUGUCAAACGGAGAAACUGAAUUAAAAAAUCAGUGGAUAUGGAGGGACAACUAUACAAAUGCCUAGAGAAUUGCUCUGUCCAGGAAUCUCUAGGUCUUCCAAUGCAACCCUAUGGAAGAAGUUGACCAUAAAGUCCUAUUGGAGGACCUACAUAUUCCGAGAAAGAACAUAUUAAUCCAAUCCACAAAUAACACUAUGUAACAAAAUUUGAAAAUUUUUCUGGUCCUGGAUUGAAAGUGUCAUUUCCUGUUUAUUUAUUUAUUUACAAUAUUUAUAUUUUGCCCUUCUCACCCCGAAGGGACUCAGGGUGGAUCACAUUAUAUACAUAUAGGGCAAACAUUCAAUGCCCAUAUACACAUAGAAUCGAGACAGAGACAGACGCAGAGGCAAUUUAACCUUCUCCUGAGGGGAUGUUCGAUUCUGGCCACAGGGGGGAGCAGCUGCUUCAUCAUCCACUCUGACGGCACUUCCUCAUUCCAGGUCGUAAAUUAGUUAAACUUGCCUCCCCCACUUUAUAAGUGGUACCUUAUUUCCUACUUGAUAGAUGCAACUGUCUUUCGAGUUGCUAGGUCAGCAACAAGCAGGGGCUAUUUUUUAAUUGACGGGUGCUCACCCCGCCACAGGCUGGCCUCGAACUUAUGACCUCAUGGUCAGAGUGAUUUAUUGCAGCUGGCUGCUCACCAGCCUGCGCUACAGCCCAGCCCCAAUUGUGCAGUCCUUACUUUGAAAGUAGUUGUUCUAUUCCAGAAUUUUAUUUUAUUUUUUGUGGCUGACACAAACUAGGUUGAAUUGGUUGAGACUCUAUGAGACCCCAAAAAGAUUCAAUGCCUUUGAAAUGCCUCUGAACUCCAUUCAGAGGCCUUACAACUUUCCAAGGGUGUUGAAUCUAUUGGAGUUCAAAAGAAAAUCUUGGGGUGGAUCCACCAACCCACCAAGAUGGGAACCACCACAGGAUAGGGCUUUUUUUGCCUUUCAGUGGAUGCUCACCUUGGACUGGAGGCCUGUACCCAUCACAGCCAAUCUUGGGUCUCUUCUGAUGGUACUUAUCGCAGAACAACGGUUUCCCAGUUUGGUUACAACACCAGUCGUAGAGCUUCAGCUCUUCAUCUAGACACAGGAAGCAAGGAAAGGAUGAGCGUAUUGAUUUGGCAAAGCUUUGUGCACCUAAAUAUCCUAAAGCAGGCAUGGGCAAACUUCGGCCCUCCAGGUGUUUUGGACUUCAAGUCCCAUAAUUCCUAACAGCCUACUGGCAAUUAGGAAUUUGUCUAUUCUCUAUUGCCCACUAGUCUAUUUCAAGGGUCUAUUUCCCACUAUUGCUCACUUGUCUAUUGCCCACUUGUCUAUUUCCGUCUAUUGCUCACUUGUCUAUUGCCCACUUGUCUAUUUCCGUCUAUUGCCCAC
rnacentral:lncRNA from 1 species